rnacentral:rRNA from 1 species
CCCAGACAGCCAGGAUGUUGGCUUAGAAGCAGCCAUCAUUUAAAGAAAGCGUAAUAGCUCACUGGUCGAGUCGGCCUGCGCGGAAGAUGUAACGGGGCUAAACCAUGCACCGAAGCUGCGGCAGCGAACGUAUCACUUAAAGCGAUUCAGCGGGUUACGAUUGACGGAGCGAAGCGACGUCAAAGCGUAUACAAAGUCGAGUCGGUUUAAGGAUACGUUCGUUGGGUAGGGGAGCGUUCUGUAAGCCUGCGAAGGUGUGUCGUGAGGCAUGCUGGAGGUAUCAGAAGUGCGAAUGCUGACAUAAGUAACGAUAAAGCGGGUGAAAAGCCCGCUCGCCGGAAGACCAA